ACGGAAUAGAGAGCUUGCUCUCUAUUUAGUGGCGGAAGGGUUAGUAAUACAUGGAUAACUUGCCUUUAAUUUGGGAAUAACGACUGGAAACGGUCGCUAAUACCGGAUGUGGUGUUACAAGGCUACUUGUAGCAUUAAAGUGGGGGACCGUAAGGCCUCACGAUUAAAGAGAGGUCCAUGCGAUAUCAGCUUGUUGGUGAGGUAAGAGCUCACCAAGGCU
rnacentral:rRNA from 1 species